GUGUGCGAUGAUGGUAUAUCAUCUUUCGGGUCUGAAUGUGAUGACACACAUUUGCACUGAGCAUAC
rfam:Ascaris lumbricoides genome assembly, scaffold: ALTE_scaffold0002035